rnacentral:rRNA from 1 species
AGUCGAACGGUGAAGCCAAGCUUGCUUGGUGGAUCAGUGGCGAACGGGUGAGUAACACGUGAGCAACCUGCCCUGGACUCUGGGAUAAGCGCUGGAAACGGCGUCUAAUACUGGAUAUGAGACGUGAUCGCAUGGUCGUGUUUGGAAAGAUUUUUCGGUCUGGGAUGGGCUCGCGGCCUAUCAGCUUGUUGGUGAGGUAAUGGCUCACCAAGGCGUCGACGGGUAGCCGGCCUGAGAGGGUGACCGGCCACACUGGGACUGAGACACGGCCCAGACUCCUACGGGAGGCAGCAGUGGGGAAUAUUGCACAAUGGGCGAAAGCCUGAUGCAGCAACGCCGCGUGAGGGAUGACGGCCUUCGGGUUGUAAACCUCUUUUAGCAGGGAAGAAGCGAAAGUGACGGUACCUGCAGAAAAAGCGCCGGCUAACUACGUGCCAGCAGCCGCGGUAAUACGUAGGGCGCAAGCGUUAUCCGGAAUUAUUGGGCGUAAAGAGCUCGUAGGCGGUUUGUCGCGUCUGCUGUGAAAUCCCGAGGCUCAACCUCGGGCCUGCAGUGGGUACGGGCAGACUAGAGUGCGGUAGGGGAGAUUGGAAUUCCUGGUGUAGCGGUGGAAUGCGCAGAUAUCAGGAGGAACACCGAUGGCGAAGGCAGAUCUCUGGGCCGUAACUGACGCUGAGGAGCGAAAGGGUGGGGAGCAAACAGGCUUAGAUACCCUGGUAGUCCACCCCGUAAACGUUGGGAACUAGUUGUGGGGACCAUUCCACGGUUUCCGUGACGCAGCUAACGCAUUAAGUUCCCCGCCUGGGGAGUACGGCCGCAAGGCUAAAACUCAAAGGAAUUGACGGGGACCCGCACAAGCGGCGGAGCAUGCGGAUUAAUUCGAUGCAACGCGAAGAACCUUACCAAGGCUUGACAUAUACGAGAACGGGCCAGAAAUGGUCAACUCUUUGGACACUCGUAAACAGGUGGUGCAUGGUUGUCGUCAGCUCGUGUCGUGAGAUGUUGGGUUAAGUCCCGCAACGAGCGCAACCCUCGUUCUAUGUUGCCAGCACGUAAUGGUGGGAACUCAUGGGAUACUGCCGGGGUCAACUCGGAGGAAGGUGGGGAUGACGUCAAAUCAUCAUGCCCCUUAUGUCUUGGGCUUCACGCAUGCUACAAUGGCCGGUACAAAGGGCUGCAAUACCGUGAGGUGGAGCGAAUCCCAAAAAGCCGGUCCCAGUUCGGAUUGAGGUCUGCAACUCGACCUCAUGAAGUCGGAGUCGCUAGUAA